UGGUCUUCAUGGUUACCCUUACAAAAACACUGACUUUGGCUCUCAAUACAGUAAGUGCUUUUUGUUGGGGUAGUUUU
ensembl:miRNA